AUUGAACGCUGGCGGCAGGCCUAACACAUGCAAGUCGAGCGGUAGAGAGGUGCUUGCACCUCUUGAGAGCGGCGGACGGGUGAGUAAUGUCUAGGAAUCUGCCUGGUAGUGGGGGAUAACGCUCGGAAACGGACGCUAAUACCGCAUACGUCCUACGGGAGAAAGCAGGGGACCUUCGGGCCUUGCGCUAUCAGAUGAGCCUAGGUCGGAUUAGCUAGGUGGUGAGGUAAUGGCUCACCAAGGCGACGAUCCGUAACUGGUCUGAGAGGAUGAUCAGUCACACUGGAACUGAGACACGGUCCAGACUCCUACGGGAGGCAGCAGUGGGGAAUAUUGGACAAUGGGCGAAAGCCUGAUCCAGCCAUGCCGCGUGUGUGAAGAAGGUCUUCGGAUUGUAAAGCACUUUAAGUUGGGAGGAAGGGUCGUUACCUAAUACGUGACGAUUUUGACGUUACCGACAGAAUAAGCACCGGCUAACUCUGUGCCAGCAGCCGCGGUAAAAC
rnacentral:rRNA from 1 species